rnacentral:rRNA from 1 species
UACGUGAGGAUGCAAGCGUUGUCCGGAAGUUACUGGGCGUAAAGGGCGAGCAGGUGGCACUACAAGUCUGAUGUAAAAUCUCCCGGCUUAACUGGGAGGGGCCAUUGGAAACUGUAGAGCUGGAGUGCAGGAGAGGCUAACGGAAUUCCCGGAUGUAGUGGUGAAAUGCGUAGAUAUCGGGAGGAACACCAGUGGCGAAGGCGGUUAGCUGGCCUGUAACGUGACACUGGAGGCGCGAACGGCUAGGGGAGCGAACAGG